rnacentral:rRNA from 1 species
GUAGGGAAUCUUCCACAAUGGACGAAAGUCUGAUGGAGCAACGCCGCGUGAGUGAAGAAGGUCUUCGGAUCGUAAAACUCUGUUGUUAGAGAAGAACGUGCAUGAUAGUAACUGAUCAUGUAAUGACGGUAUCUAACCAGAAAGCCACGGCUAACUACGUGCCAGCAGCCGCGGUAAUACGUAGGUGGCAAGCGUUGUCCGGAUUUAUUGGGCGUAAAGGGAACGCAGGCGGUUUUUUAAGUCUGAUGUGAAAGCCUUCGGCUUAACCGAAGAAUAGCAUUGGAAACUGGAAGACUUGAGUGCAGAAGAGGAGAGUGGAAUUCCAUGUGUAGCGGUGAAAUGCGUAGAUAUAUGGAGGAACACCAGUGGCGAAAGCGGCUUUCUGGACGACAACUGACGCUGAGGCGCGAAAGCCAGGGGAGCAAACGGGAUUAGAAACCCGUGUAGUCC